GCACGCACACAACUGCAUGCCAAAACCGUCAAAAGACAUUUUUCAUUUUCAUCUUGACUGUGCAACUAGAUUUUCUUUGGAAUAUAAUUUUUUAUCUAACGAAAAAAAACUAAUUUUAAGUGUUAAAUUAUUCAGUUUAUAUUAGCUAAUUUAUUAAUAACAAUUAAGUAAAAAUGUCCGAUGAAUUUAAAUUGCCACGCCGCUCACGAAAAAGACUACGCGAAGUUAAAAGAAAAGCACGUCCAGAACUAAACGAUAAAGAAUCUUGGACUGCACUUCGCUAUGCCGAUCGCUUCGAACAAUUCACUCAAUUUACCGAUAAUGUCGAUCGAAUCGAUGAAAAUUGUGUGGAUUGCCAGACGUUCAUUGAACGCUAUGAAAAACCAUAUUUGCCUGUGGUAAUUACGAGCACUCAAGAAGGGUGGAAGGCCCAAGAGAAAUGGACAAUGAAUAGACUUGUGAAGAAGUAUCGCAAUCAGAAGUUCAAAUGCGGCGAAGACAAUGAAGGUUACAGUGUCAAGAUGAAAAUGAAAUAUUAUGUGGAAUAUAUGAAGACGACUUUAGAUGAUAGUCCACUUUAUAUAUUCGAUAGCAGUUUCGGAGAGCAUCAUCGUAGAAAAAAGCUCCUUGAUGACUACACAAUUCCAAAGUAUUUUCAAGAUGAUCUCUUCAAGUAUUCGGGAGAGGAUCGUCGUCCACCGUAUCGGUGGUUUGUAAUGGGACCAGCUCGUUCGGGGACGGGAAUCCACAUAGACCCACUUGGGACAAGUGCCUGGAAUGCACUUGUUUUUGGCCACAAGAGAUGGUGCCUCUUCCCAACCAAUACACCAAAGGAAUUAUUAAAAGUUCAAGGAUCUGUUGGUGGCAAACAGCGUGAUGAGGCAAUAACCUGGUUCAGUGUUAUCUAUCCAAAGACAAAGAGGCCCGAUUGGCCAAAAGAAUAUGCUCCAAUAGAAAUUCUGCAAGGCCCGGGAGAGACCGUUUUUGUGCCUGGCGGCUGGUGGCAUGUUGUUCUAAAUCUCGACGAUACUGUAGCUGUCACACAGAAUUUCUGCAGCAAGACCAAUUUCCCAAUUGUGUGGCAUAAAACUGUACGUGGACGUCCAAAAUUGUCUCGCAAAUGGUUACGUAUACUCAGGGAAGUUGAACCUGAACUAGCUAAAAUGGCCGAAAAUAUAAAUAUCGAUCAGAGCACUGGAUUCGCUUCGGACAGUUCUAGCAAUUCUAGUUCAUCGUCGUCAUCUUCAUCGUCGAGCGAUGACGAUAGCGACAGCUGUUCGAAUACGGACAGUGGUCAAGAAAGUCUCACUGCCAAAAAGAAGAAGAAGCGACGUAUGGGAGGAACUAGUGGUGGCGGAAUGAUGUCUUCACGUUCUUGAUCAUCAAUUACAAAGGGCGGCCAAUAUAAUUGUUGUGCGGCGUUCCCUUCGAAUUUUCAAAAAUUAUACAUUUCCUAAAAUCUUAGUAUGAAAUCAAAAAGAGAAAAAAAAAGUACAGAAAAUAUCAAACAUUACUGAUUAACAAAAUGAAAAUCGUUUUCCAAAUUAUUAUUUUUAAAUUGUUAAUGACUUGUAAUUUAAUACGAAAUGACAAAAUAUAUAU